rnacentral:rRNA from 1 species
UGCAGUCGAACGAACGACCUCGGGCUUGCCCGGGGAAGUUAGUGGCGAACGGCUGAGUAACGCGUAGGUGACCUGCCCUGAAGUGGGGAAUAACUGCCCGAAAGGGUGGCUAAUACCGCAUACGGUCAUGAGUUCAGUCUCAUGACCAAAGCCUUUGGGCGCUUUUGGAGGGGCCUGCGUUCGAUUAGCUCGUUGGUGAGGUAACGGCUCACCAAGGCGACGAUCGAUAGGUGGUCUGAGAGGAUGAUCACCCAGACUGGGACUGAGACACGGCCCAGACAACUACGGUUGGCAGCAGUCGGGAAUUUUGCUCAAUGGGGGAAACCCUGAAGCAGCAACGCCGCGUGAGGGAUGAAGGCCUUCGGGUUGUAAACCUCUUUUCUCAGGGACGAUAAUGACGGUACCUGAGGAAUAAGCCACGGCUAACUACGUGCCAGCAGCCGCGGUAAUACG